GAGCUUGUAGCUCAGUGGACUAGAGCACAUGGCUACGAACCAUGGGGUCGGGGGUUCGAAACCCUCCUGGCUCG
rfam:Chlamydomonas reinhardtii strain CC-503 cw92 mt+ chloroplast, complete genome.